GCCGGGCAUGGUGGCACACGCCUGUAAUCCCAACUACUUGGGAGGCUGAGGCAGGGGAAUUGCUUGAACCCAGGAGGUGGAGGCUGCAGUGAGCCAAGAACACAUCACUGCACUCUAGCCUGGGUGACAGAGCAAGACCCUGUCUUAA
rnacentral:SRP_RNA from 1 species